CUACCCAGAAAGGUGCUGAUGAGGCAGGAUACAGAUUAUUAGCGCCUGACUGAGUGGGG
rnacentral:pre_miRNA from 1 species